rnacentral:rRNA from 1 species
AUGGAUCUUGGGCGUCUUAACUAUGGCAUCGUGACCCUCAUCCCCAAGGUCCCGUGCGCCUCCGACAUCCGCCAAUUUCGGCCAAUCACAGUGAUUAAUGUGAUAUUCCGGAUCCUGGCCAAAGGGUACGCCAAUAGGGUGACCCUGCUCGCGGACGCGAUUACCCACCCGAACCAAUCCGCCUUCAUACAAGGCCGAUUUAUUCUGGAUGGGGUUCUGGUUUUCCACGAAGUCCUCCAUGAGGUCCGGCUGAAACACCAUCGGGCGGUGUUUUUGAAGCUAGACUUCCACAAGGCCUACGACACGGUCCACUGGCCCUUCUUGCGGGAAGUGUUG